GACGAACGCUGACGGUGUGCUUUAGACAUGCAAGUCGAACGAGAAAGCCCUUCGGGGUGAGUACAGUGGCGAACGGGUGAGUAACACGUGGGUAACCUGCCCCUCGCAGAGGGACAACCG
rnacentral:rRNA from 1 species